AUUGAACGCUGGCGGCAUGCCUUACACAUGCAAGUCGAACGGUAACAGGUCUUCGGAUGCUGACGAGUGGCGAACGGGUGAGUAAUACAUCGGAACGUGCCUAGUAGUGGGGGAUAACUACUCGAAAGAGUGGCUAAUACCGCGUGAGAUCUACGGAUGAAAGCAGGGGAUCGCAAGACCUUGUGCUACUAGAGCGGCCGAUGGCAGAUUAGGUAGUUGGUGGGAUAAAAGCUUACCAAGCCGACGAUCUGUAGCUGGUCUGAGAGGACGAUCAGCCACACUGGGACUGAGACACGGCCCAGACUCCUACGGGAGGCAGCAGUGGGGAAUUUUGGACAAUGGGCGAAAGCCUGAUCCAGCAAUGCCGCGUGCAGGAUGAAGGCCUUCGGGUUGUAAACUGCUUUUGUACGGAACGAAAAGCUCUGGGUUAAUACCCUGGUGUCAUGACGGUACCGUAAGAAUAAGCACCGGCUAACUACGUGCCAGCCGCCGCCGUAAUAC
rnacentral:rRNA from 1 species